rnacentral:rRNA from 1 species
UACGUAGGGUGCAAGCGUUAAUCGGAAUUACUGGGCGUAAAGCGUGCGCAGGCGGUUAUUUAAGACAGAUGUGAAAUGCCCGGGCUCAACCUGGGAACUGCAUUUGUGACUGCAUGGCUAGAGUGUGUCAGAGGGGGGUAGAAUUCCACGUGUAGCAGUGAAAUGCGUAGAUAUGUGGAGGAAUACCGAUGGCGAAGGCAGCCCCCUGGGAUAACACUGACGCUCAUGCACGAAAGCGUGGGGAGCAAACAGG